GGAAACGCAGGCAACCUUUGCUAGAGAAAGGGGUUAAUGUUCAGCUCUGUGCCUUGCAGGUACAGUCUCAAGUGAAGAGCCCCGUUUGAUACCUGUAGGAAGCUGCCAUUUUUGCAUCUCAUAUUCCAUUUGUGAACAGCCCUUUUUGUUCUUUAGUCCAAGUUCUGAAUUAUUUAAUCCUGUCUCCAACACUUGAAAUUAUCUCUUCCUAUAAACAAGAGGUUAUUCAGUGAAAGGAAAUAAAUAAUUUAAAAAGUCAGACCCUAAAGUGUUCCUGGCUCUGUUUUUAAUUAAUAUUGAUACAAUCUUGAGAAACCUGCUGCUUAAUAUCACAAGGCAGGUCGAAGCUCAUCAACAGUUAAACGUCUCCUUUUAACAGAAGGUGGAAGAGGAAGUUGGGAGCUGCCGGGUGCCAGCGAUCCGGGACUGCCCAGUCCCAGCUCCUCACAACUUUCCCAUGCACAAAAACCAGAGCUUCAAAGCCAUUAGAGCCUGAGCUCCACGAGCUGGAGCUUACAGGGCUCAGGUGGAACUGUGUUAAGCAUAAAUCCUUUGGGCUUUUGUCCUGGGAUAGAGUGGUGGAAACACAGACGACUCUGCAGACAGACCGUGCGCAAAGUUAAUAAACUCGGUGCUGCACAGAUUGCCUGGUGAACCUGCCAACAGGUGAACAGCCUCAAUCCGCAACGGGUAUAAAUAAUCACCAGUCCUCAAAAGCAGGUAUUCUGGGUCACUAUUAAGAGCCCUUUCAAGUUAGCAAAGUUCAGCCAAGUCUACCUUAAUCCCAAACCUUUAAAAGAAACAAUAAAACACGGAAAGGGGGUGGAAGACGA